UACAGAGGUGGCAAGCGUUGUUCGGAAUUACUGGGCGUAAAGGGCGCGUAGGCGGUCCGCUAAGUCCUGUGUGAAAUCCCUCGGCUCAACCGAGGAACUGCACAGGAGACUGGGGGGCUUGAGUUCGGGAGAGGGAAGCGGAAUUCCGGGUGUAGCGGUGAAAUGCGUAGAUAUCCGGAGGAACACCGGUGGCGAAGGCGGCUUCCUGGACCGACACUGACGCUGAGGCGCGAAAGCCAGGGGAG
rnacentral:rRNA from 1 species